rnacentral:rRNA from 1 species
GACUAACGCUGGCGGCGUGCCUAACACAUGCAAGUCGAGCGCGAACGGGGGGCAACCCCCUAGUAGAGCGGCGCACGGGUGAGUAACACGUGGGUAACCUACCCUUGGGUGGGGAUAACACUCCGAAAGGAGUGCUAAUCCCGCAUAAGACCACACUGGCUGCGGCCAGAGCGGUCAAAGGGGGCCGAGCAAUCGGUUCUCGCCUGAGGACGGGCCCGCGGCCCAUUAGCUAGUUGGUGAGGUAAUGGCCCACCAAGGCGACGAUGGGUAGCUGGUCUGAGAGGACGACCAGCCACACUGGAACUGGAACACGGUCCAGACUCCUACGGGAGGCAGCAGUGAGGAAUAUUGCGCAAUGGACGAAAGUCUGACGCAGCAACGCCGCGUGAGUGAUGAAGGCCUUCGGUCGUAAAGCUCUGUCGGAUGGAAAGGAUGUGGCCCGGCCAAUCCCCGGGUCGUGACGGUACCAUCAAAGGAACGCACCGGCUAACUCCGUGCCAGCAGCCGACG